rnacentral:lncRNA from 1 species
CGCGUUCUCUGGGUGGUGGACCAGCUCGUGAGCCACAGGAUGCAUGUGGAGGUCCGUGGGGCUGUUCUCCUCUCCUUCCUCUGACCCUACGCAGCUUCA